rnacentral:rRNA from 1 species
CUGGGACAAGCCCUGGAAACGGGGUCUAAUACCGGAUAACACCGGCUUCCGCAUGGGAGCUGGUUGAAAGCUCCGGCGGUGAAGGAUGAGCCCGCGGCCUAUCAGCUUGUUGGUGGGGUAAUGGCCUACCAAGGCGACGACGGGUAGCCGGCCUGAGAGGGCGACCGGCCACACUGGGACUGAGACACGGCCCAGACUCCUACGGGAGGCAGCAGUGGGGAAUAUUGCACAAUGGGCGAAAGCCUGAUGCAGCGACGCCGCGUGAGGGAUGACGGCCUUCGGGUUGUAAACCUCUUUCAGCAGGGAAGAAGCGAAAGUGACGGUACCUGCAGAAGAAGCGCCGGCUAACUACGUGCCAGCAGCCGCGGUAAUACGUAGGGCGCAAGCGUUGUCCGGAAUUAUUGGGCGUAAAGAGCUCGUAGGCGGCUUGUCACGUCGGAUGUGAAAGCCCGGGGCUUAACCCCGGGUCUGCAUUCGAUACGGGCAGGCUAGAGUGUGGUAGGGGAGAUCGGAAUUCCUGGUGUAGCGGUGAAAUGCGCAGAUAUCAGGAGGAACACCGGUGGCGAAGGCGGAUCUCUGGGCCAUUACUGACGCUGAGGAGCGAAAGCGUGGGGAGCGAACAGGAUUAGAUACCCUGGUAGUCCACGCCGUAAACGUUGGGAACUAGGUGUUGGCGACAUUCCACGUCGUCGGUGCCGCAGCUAACGCAUUAAGUUCCCCG